UGUCUCAUUGUCCAUAAGAGAUUUGUAUUCUUCUUGCAUAGCAAUCUCCCACUUCAUUGCAUCACCACACCUCAUUGCAUCACACAAAGUCAAUAGAUCAUCAAGAAGAGCAAUAUUGGCAUGGUCUUCACUUACUUGUGGAAAGAUGUGGUUCUUCCACCAUUCACCUUGUGGUCUUCUCUCACGUGUUGGAUAUCUUCUUUCAUGCAAGGAGGAUGAGCCUUCAUGCACCUCUUGCUGCCUUGUAUGGCUCAUGGAGUUCUUUGUCUUACUCAUUGGUUGGUAUUCUUCAUCUUCAUUCUCUUCAUUGUCCUUGUUGUAU
rnacentral:lncRNA from 1 species